AAAAAAAAAAUUUUUUUUUUUACAUUUUUUUUUUUUCCACACACUACUCUUAGGGAUUCCACCUGGCUUUUAUUUUAUUGGCACAGCCAAUAUUUGAGGCUGCCUGGCUGGUGCCAAUAUUGCAGUGAUACUGGCAAUAUAAAUGCUGGUAUUUUUCUCAGUAUAAACAAGAAAUUACUAUGCAAUACCAGCACGGGCCAGUAGGGGUUGCUAUAUGUGGAGACAGGCAGGGAUAGGAAGUUCCAGCAUAUCCCUCCCUGCCUAUCUAUACUCACUGAUCUGCAGGGGUGCAGCUACAGAGAGUCCAGACAGCAACUCCCACCAUGCAGAGACAGCCUACAGCUCAGGGAAGUAAGGGAUGGGGGAGACAUGGGGACACUGAGACACUAAGGGACAUUGGGAGACAUUAUGGCAGACACUGAGACACUAAGGGACAUUGAGAGACAUUAUGGCACAGACACAUGGGGACACAGUGUCCCCAUGUCUCCCAGCCAGUGUCCCUGGUGUCUCAGUGCCCCCUAGUCUCCCAGUGCCCCCUAGUCUCCCAGUGCCCCCAGUCUGCCAGUGUCUCACUGUCCCCAUGUCUCCUAGUGCCUCCAUGUCUCUCAGUGCCUCAAGUGUCACAAUGUCCCCAAGCUAGUGUCCCUAGUGUCUGUGGCCCUGGUGUCUCAGUGUCCCCAUGUCUUCCAGUGCCCCCAUGUCUCAAUGUCCCCAUGUCCCCCAGCCAGUGUCUCUAGUAUCUUUGUCCCUGGUGUCUGUGUCCCCAUGUCUUCAAGUGUCCCCUAUUUUCCCAUUGUCCCCAUGUGUCCCAGCCAGAGUCCCCUAGUCUCCCAGUGUCACUGGUGUCUCCGUGUCCCUAGGUCUCCCCGUGUCCCCAGGUCUCCCCGUCUUCCUAGUGUCCUAGUGACAUGGGGACCCUGGGAUACAUGGGGACACAGGGAGACAUGGGGCAUUGAGAUACUGAUACAUAGGAUCACUGGGAGACCUGGGGACACGACACUAGGGGACACUGGGAGACAUGGGGCACUGAGACACUGAUACAUAGGAACACCGAGACCUGGAGUAAUCGACACAUGGGGGCACUGAGUCAUGAGGGCACUGGGAGACAUGGGGGCACUGGGAGGAAUCCAUCUAUACAGCAGAUUUAAACUAUGUAGUUUUUUGGUGAUUUUACAGCGUUUUCUCUUAUGUCACUCCUUGUGAUGUGAUGUCACCCACACAUAUUUAAUUAUG